rnacentral:misc_RNA from 1 species
GAUGAAGAACGCAGCGAAAUGCGAUAAGUAGUGUGAAUUGCAGAAUUCAGUGAAUCAUCGAAUCUUUGAACGCACAUUGCGCCCCUUGGUAUUCCAUGGGGCAUGUCUGUUCGAGCGUCAUUUGUACCUUCAAGCUCUGCUUGGUGUUGGGUGAUUGUCUAUCUUUAUAGACUCGCCUUAAAGUCAUUGGCAGCCGGCAUAUUGGCCUGGGAGCGCAGCACAAGUCGCGCUUCUUGUCAUGAAUGUUGGCGUCCAGUAAGUCUACAUAUUUUGCUCUUGACCUCGGAUCAGGUAGGGAUACCCGCUGAACUUAAGCAUAUCAAUAAGCGGAGGA